GACAGAGGGUGCAAACGUUGUUCGGAUUUACUGGGCGUAAAGCGCGUGUAGGCGGCUUUGCAAGUCGGGUGUGAAAUCCCUCAGCUCAACUGAGGAAGUGCGCCCGAAACUGCAGAGCUUGAGUGCCGGAGAGGGUAGCGGAAUUCCCCAAGUAGAGGUGAAAUUCGUAGAUAUGGGGAGGAACACCGGUGGCGAAGGCGGCUACCUGGACGGUAACUGACGCUGAGACGCGAAAGCGUGGGUAGCAAACAGG
rnacentral:rRNA from 1 species